CUCUUGCAAGUGUGAGACAGGUACAUGUAAAACGUUUUGGCUUUAAGUGUAGUCUGUCAAAAGCAAACUGUAUCUGUGAUGACUACGUUAAUAGAUAGGGAUUCAUUUACUAUUUGGAACCUGAGGGAAACGCGUGCGCAAAUACAGUGUAUUUUACCUCAGUCGAUAUCAGUGUGUGAAUUAUGCAAUGAAUUUCAAAGGGAGCGAAUAUUUCUAAAAGGAAAUUCUAAAUGUAAUUUUUGCGUUGUGUUGCAACUCGAAAAUUACUUUUAGACUGUCACAGGCUUUUAGACUGUUGUGCAAUACAAGUUGUGAGUUGGCGCCACUAGCAAAGUUACCUGCAGUAGGCUACCUAAGACUUUUUAAACAAUUAACACAAAUAUUAGGAUAUAUUUGUGAUAUAAACGUUUCUAUAAUGACAACUUACUGCUGGUUCAAGUAAGGUUUUUUUAUUAUUAUUUUUUUUUUUAAUGGCUAAUAUUGUAUCCUGGUUCUUAUUAAUCCAGGAAACAUAUUUUUUAGUCCACAAAUAAAAUAACACAUUCUGUUUGUGUAUUAAGCAAAAAGAACAAAUGUCUUACACAAAUCACGGUUAUUUUAGAGAACUUAUUUGAAAUGUGUUUUCUCUCAUUUAUGAAAAAUUAAUGCACCCUUAUUGACUUUAUUUAGUAACUUUAUUUAUCGCUAAUAAUAAUCACCAAUAACUUUAAUUGCAAACAAUUUUAUAAAUUUUAUUUCUGAUAUCUUGAUCUUUAUUUGCAGUAUCUUGAUGGUAAAUUAACUAUCUAAAUUACUUAAUUUAAAAAAACAGUCUUGUUAUUGCUUCUCAAUGUCACAUCAGUGUAGAACAUCAGUAACAGCAGCACAAGCUAAUUAAUAUUCAUGAGUUUAUCUUCUCAUAUAGUGACGUAACAAGCACAUCUUGCUCUCCCCCACACUCUAAAACUCGUUCCUGCACAUACUACGUUCAGUUGCAUCUACUGAUGUGAGAAGGACAGUCUUGUAAAAUAAUGUCAUCCAAUCCAUUAUUUCUUUUCUUUCAUUGUUUCUUUUCUAAAUAUUAUUGCAACCUGUUCCCACAUUCUGUUGUUCGCAGCUGCAUGCGCACUGAAUCAAUAAUUAACCACGAGACCAGCCGCUCCCACCCCUGACAAAACCCAUUUCACAUCUCCACCGGUGAGGGCUGCCCAAGAGCGACUGCUCGCCGAAUGAAGGGAUUUCAGAUCUUGUUUUAUUUACCAAGAUAUGGAAUUCAUCACGGGCAAAAACACAUUUCCUGCUUGCACCCAUUUACUCUGCAUAUACAAUCCUAAUGUUACACAUUCAAUGGGUCUUCGGGGAGUUUUGUGUGAACGCAUUUUGCUCUCAGGUUUGUUGUGGGGAAAUAAUGGUUGUGUCAUUUUAAUAUGGUGCGGGUCUUUGUGCUGCUGUACUGGUACAAUAAAACAAAUCACAGCGUUGGAAUGGGCUAAGAAACGGCUGUGGUCUUAUCGUCUCCGCACCUGCACUUCUAAAAACCACAGCUGAGGUCCCUCACAGUGAGCUACUGACUUGACAAGAACCACUUUUGGCAUGAGAGUCCAGUAGUGCCAUAAAAAAUGAAAGACAUUUCUCACUGGAUGGCCAGGCCUCACUCUUAGGGACAGAGUACUUGAGCACUCAAACCUAGAAAACCCAAACUUUAUGCAGACUAUUUAUAUUCCUCUGUUCUUUUAAAAUGUGCUUGGCUCAGUAGCGUGAUGUUGUGCUUUUUGCUGAUUAAAUUAAAAUGAACGCAUCUGACUAAAUUAAAUGUUUUUUUUAUUAUUUUAUUAUUAGUAUUAAUUAAAUUUGGUUACAAAAUAUUUGUUAUUAAAGUAUAAUUUCAUAAAAAAUAUUAUUUUAUAUAAUUAUAUUUAAAUAUACAAUUUUACAUAUAUAAUAAUUUAAAUAUGUGACCCUGGACGACAAAACCAGUCUUAAGUGUUAAUUUUUCGAAAUUAAGAUUUAUACACCAUCUGAAAGCUGAAUAAAUAAUCUUUCCAUUGAUGUAUGGUUUGUUAGGAUUAGACAAUAUUUGACUGAGAUACAACUAUUUGAAAAUCUUGAAUCUGAGGGUGCAAAAAAAUCAAAAUAUUGAGAAAAUCACCUUUAAAGUUGUCCAAAUGAAUUCUUAGCAAUGCAUAUUACUAAUCAAAAAUUAAGUUUUGAUACAUUUACAGUAAGAAAUGUACAAAAUAUCUUCAUGGAACAUGAUCUUUACUUAAUAUCCUAAUGAUUUUUGGCGUAAAAGAAAAAUCGAUAAUUUUGACCCAUACAAUGUAUUUUUGGCUAUUGCUACAAAUAUACCCCAGCGACUUAAGACUGGUUUUGUGGUCCAGGGUCACAUAUAAUUAAAUGUGUGUGUGUGUGUGUGUGUGUAAAACAUUCACAUGCUAGUAAAAAACAUGUUUAAAACGCAAUGCUCAGCCCACAUCACAAAACACACCACAAAAUAGUUAUUGUGUUUUGUUUCCCAUUUUGCUCACUGAACCAUGUGGCACCAUGUGAGUUAUGGAAGGCAUUACCUUUCAUCUUCCUCACAACAAGACAUUAAUUCAGGUCCCUCCCACCAACAGAGAGAGAGAGAGAUAGAAAAAAAACUGCCUGUCGUUUCAUUCAUAUGCAGGCUUGAUUCAAUUAUACACAGGACCUCUCAUCACAGUACAGGCAAACUUGAGUCACUCCAUUAACCUCUGUGUGAGUUCACCAGUCUAAAGUCUAGCAACCAUUGAUGGGAACCAUCACUGAGUUCUUCACAACCUCCAAACUGAACGAGAACAAGCAGCGAUGCUCUCCACCCUUAUCUACCUUCUGAUACCACCAACCAUUCGUCACAUGGCACAUGGUAGGAGGAAAUGUGUGCUUUGACUUCACAGAUGCCUAUUUUUACUUUCAUACUGUGUGUUUAUGCAGCGCGACAGAGAAAAGGUUGGAUAGUGGAAUACUACUCUUGAUAAUAAUGGCAGAAGAGAUCAGCUCCUGGCAAUAAAAUCUUUAUAAAGGACUAAAUGUCAGCUUCUGGUCUUUGUAACAGCUGAUGCGGUAGAUAGAAGAGGAGACGAGGCCAGUCUGGAAGGAAAGCCUCAUUAUUUGUGAGGAAAAUGAGAUGAAUGUGGCACUGGUGAAUCCAUGAGCAGAUAUCGAACCUAGUGGGAGGCUCUCCUUGUGGCCAGGUCCAAACGAAGUGCAGUCACUGACGGUUGGCUGGAGGGGGACUGAGCAAUGAUACUCCAUCACCUUGUCUUUCUGAGCCCUGGGAAAAGCAUCGUCAGUAUUUCUGCACCACUCCCCUCCAUCCAUGCUGCCUUUCUCCCAGAAUUCAUGGUGCCUUACUUAGUCAGAGCAGAAGAGAGCAAGAUGAGAGAAAGGAAAAGGCUCCAUGGCAGAGCAUUUAAUGCUGAACACUGCUGUUAGAGAGAAUGCAUUAUUAAUGUGAGGGGAAACUAACGGGGACCAGCAGCUCCUCGGGGCUGUGAAGAGGACGGUUGGCGUCUCUGAGGAAGCAACACCACGCCUCAAAGGUCUUCCUCGAAAUCACAGCCCUGAAACUCCAGAUGAAGACUAGACCUUUAUUCUGUAUGCGGAGAGAGGUACAUGAACGUGUUUUUCUUUGGGGACCAUCAUCGCCAGCACUCGCCCCCUGCUGCUGAAAUCACAGGCUUUUUACUUCCAGGUCAUGGUGCCUGUAUCACUCACUCUGACCCCUCACUUCGCUGACUUUUUCUUAGCUGUCUUUUCAAAGAGAAAAAGGGGAGAGCUUUCAAGACCUCAAAUUUGCCGCUCUCUUCAUCAACACCCAGUCCCUGUGAAAUCAUCAAAAAGUAAAGACAGUUGGAAAAAAACCCUACAUCUUUCCAUACUGACUCAGGGCUCAGAGAUUCAGCAGUAACUGUCAUCCCUGGAGGAAGAGUCUUCCACUACAUAGGCACAGGGGCCAGAUGUCACCUGUCCUCCCAGGCGAGUGGAGCACUGGUGGGGCUAAGACUCAACCGAGGCAGGCUGCCCUGGUUCUCUCUCUCUGCCUGGCUGGAGACACCUGCUCCUCGCCUCACUGGUGACGGCCCCCAGUGGAGCUUUUUUCAUCUACUUUCACAUGCACAAGCAUCCUGAAGCACUGCUGGGUGUGCUAGUGGAUAUAUAGCUGGAGAAUCACCAGGAUGAAUAUGCAAAAUGUUUCAAAUCCCUGAGCUGCGGAGGAUUUUAAG